CCUACGGGAGGCAGCAGUGGGGAAUAUUGGACAAUGGGGGGAACCCUGAUCCAGCCAUGCCGCGUGUGUGAAGAAGGCCCUCGGGUUGUAAAGCACUUUCAGUGAGGAAGAACGCCUGGUGGUUAAUACCCAUCAGGAAAGACAUCACUCACAGAAGAAGCACCGGCUAACUCCGUGCCAGCAGCCGCGGUAAUACGGAGGGUGCGAGCGUUAAUCGGAAUUACUGGGCGUAAAGCGCGCGUAGGUGGCUUGAUAAGCCGGUUGUGAAAGCCCGGGCUCAACCUGGGAACGGCAUCCGGAACUGUCAAGCUAGAGUGCAGGAGAGGAAGGUAGAAUUCCCGGUGUAGCGGUGAAAUGCGUAGAGAUCGGGAGGAAUACCAGUGGCGAAGGCGGCCUUCUGGACUGACACUGACACUGAGGUGCGAAAGCGUGGGUAGCAAACAGGAUUAGAUACCCUUGUAGUC
rnacentral:rRNA from 1 species